GUGCAGGGGGCUUAGGGUUCCGUUGCCUUGAGAGAGGCAAGUCUGGUCCAAGAAGCGCCACCUGACCGGCAAAUUCCGGCAGGCACACGGCGGGGCAAAAUCCCGGGAGGU
rnacentral:sRNA from 1 species